CUAAGACGGUGCUUACCUCUGCAACGUCUUUGAAAGUAGGCAUUCUAAGAUGUUGCUGAUGUAAGCACCGUCUUAGAAUGCUUACUUUCAAAGACGGUGCUGAUGUAAACACCGUCUUU
rfam:Glycine soja cultivar W05 scaffold5_62, whole genome shotgun sequence.